rnacentral:rRNA from 1 species
AUCCUGGCUCAGAAUGAACGUUGGCGGCGUGGAUUAGGCAUGCAAGUCGAGCGCGAACCCGCAAGGGGGAGAGCGGCGAACGGCGUAGUAAUGGAUCGGAACGUACCCUUCGGCCGGGGAUAGCUACGGGAAACUGUAGGUAAUACCCGAUAACAUCUGCGGAUCAAAGGUGAGAUUCCGGCCGGGGGAGCGGCUGAUUUGAUAUUAGCUAGUUGGUGGGGUAAUGGCUUACCAAGGCGAUGAUGUCUAGGGGGUGUGAGAGCAUGGCCCCCACGACCGGAACUGAGAUACUGUCCGGACACCUACGGGUGGCUGCAGUCGAGAAUCUUCCGCAAUGGACGAAAGUCUGACGGAGCGACGCCGCGUGCGGGAUGAAGGCCCUUGGGUUGUAAACCGCUGUCAGAGGGGAUGAAAUCUUCGGAGGUCCUCCUCCGAAGUUGACAGAGCCUCAAAGGAAGCACGGGCU